GUGAACGCUGGCGGCGUGCCUAAUACAUGCAAGUCGAGCGAACAGAUGAGGAGCUUGCUCCUCUGACGUUAGCGGCGGACGGGUGAGUAACACGUGGAUAACCUACCUAUAAGACUGGGAUAACUUCGGGAAACCGGAGCUAAUACCGGAUAAUAUAUUGAACCGCAUGGUUCAAUAGUGAAAGACGGUUUUGCUGUCACUUAUAGAUGGAUCCGCGCCGCAUUAGCUAGUUGGUAAGGUAACGGCUUACCAAGGCAACGAUGCGUAGCCGACCUGAGAGGGUGAUCGGCCACACUGGAACUGAGACACGGUCCAGACUCCUACGGGAGGCAGCAGUAGGGAAUCUUCCGCAAUGGGCGAAAGCCUGACGGAGCAACGCCGCGUGAGUGAUGAAGGUCUUCGGAUCGUAAAACUCUGUUAUUAGGGAAGAACAAAUGUGUAAGUAACUAUGCACGUCUUGACGGUACCUAAUCAGAAAGCCACGGCUAACUACGUG
rnacentral:rRNA from 1 species